rnacentral:tRNA from 1 species
UCCUUUGUGAUGUAAAGGUAGCACACUCGACUCGCGUUCGAGAACUCUAGGUUCAAGUCCCGGCGAGGGCA